CGCACAUUGCGCCCCCUGGUAUCCCGGGGGGCACGCCUGUUCGAGCGUCAUUGCAACCCUCAAGCCUGGCUUGGUAUUGGCCCCGCCGAGGCUAGGCGGGUCCUAAAUGCAUGGGCGGCGGCCGUUACUACUCGAUGCAAGAGGAUCCCAUCCACGCGUCGUGCUAGGACGGGCGCCUGCCCCCAAAGCGGUCCCCGGACCCUCCAGUUUGACCUCGGAUCAGGUGGGAAUACCCGCUGAACUUAA
rnacentral:misc_RNA from 1 species